rnacentral:rRNA from 1 species
AUGGAAGUGGUGGUGGCGGUGGCGAGCGCUGUGGCGAGCAGCGUGGUGCCUAGGCUGUUGACAGUCUUAGAAGAAAGUUCCAAGGAGUUGAGGGACAUUGAGGAAGACAUCGGUUUCUUGCAUCGAGAGCUUCCCAUGAUUUAUGGUUUGACGGAUGGUCAAAUAUCGCACAAGGAGCAGCCCAGUGGCACCGAGAUCUUAUCCAUGGAAGAAUUCCGUGAUUUGGCACAUAACAUCGAGGACUGCCUGGACCGGUUCCUUCCUUGCGCUGAAUGCGAGGGAGAACAACAAAUCCGCGAUACAAGCAAGUUUCGUGAUGAGAUUGCGAGAUUCAAGCGGGAGCUGGAUGCGGCACAACAGCGAAAAAAGAGAUACGUCGUCGCCGAAUCCAACGUCGACAAUAGCAGCACCGCUGACGAGGAGGAUACGGGCACAUAUGAGGCUUGUCCUGCAGUGGGCAUCCAGGAAGCAAAGGAGGAGGUUUGGGCCUUGUUAGUUGGCGGCGAAUCAAGCAAGCUGAGGGUGGUCUCCAUCGUCGGAUUUGGUGGCUCGGGAAAAACCGCACUCUCCUGGGAAGUGUACAACUGCCCUCAAGUCGCCAAGCAAUUCAGUUGCCGUGCCUGGGUGACUGUGGCGUCCAAUCAAAUACACGGGGUCGCGGCCAAGGAGGCGCUCUUGACGGCCAUACUAGAGGGGCUUCUUGGAGACGAAGCACGGGCGCCCGUGCCACAGAGACUCCUACAACUCCAACAGCAUAUCCGUCUUCUUCUCCAAACCAAGAGGUGUUUAAUUGUAAUUGAUAACAUCAAGAUGGAGCUCUGGGACGCAAUAAAACCAAUCUUCCCAGAAGAAACAGAGAGCAGAAUGCUGGUGACCACAACUAUGACUUCGGUAGCUAAUGCCUGCAGCUUGCCUGACGGUUAUGUUUACAGUAUGAGAUCUCUUAGUGCAAAACAGUCCAAGGAUUAUCUAGACAAGAAGGUUUUCGUCGGUGGAUGCUCACCUGACUGGGAGAGGGGUUCAACUGCAAUCGUGAACAAAUGUGAUGGUCACCCACUUGCUCUAGUUAGUGUUGCCAAAGCUUUGCAAGGUCACAAGUUGACUGGAGAUCUGUGCGAAGAAAUGACCCGCAACCUAUGUUCCCGUAUGGAAGAGAACAAGAAUGGUCACUUCACAAGACUAAAGCAGGUUCUUAUGAAUAACUACAGCAGUCUGCCUGACAAUUCUCUCAAGACCUGCUUACUAUACUCAGGUGUAUUCCCAAAUGAUCGCCCCAUCAGCACGAAAACUCUUGCCAUGCGAUGGUUAGCCGAAGGAUACAUUGGUGACCAAGAGAUUGCCGAUAAGAAGUUGGAUGAGCUAAUUGACAGAAACAUAUUUCGGCCUAUUGACCCAAGCAACAAUGGAAAAGCCAAGGCGUGCAAACCUCAUGGCAUCAUGCACCAGUUCUUGUUGCACAAGUCGGUGGCUUCAAAAUUCAUUGCUACAUCUUUCGGUGCUAAGAACCGAAGUAAUUCCCGGCAUCUCGUUAUUGAGAACCAUAAAAAUAGCACAGCAUGCAACAUGGAACAUGGUACUGGCCGCCUGAAGAAUUUCUUUUCGUCUUUGCAAGGAAAGGUUGAUAACUUCAUUGCAGGGCCGCCCGGCGAGCAGCUGCGCCCACGGUCUCUAACAGUCUUUGGGAGUGCAGAAGAAACUGUUUCAGAUUUGGCUAGUUUUGAGCUUCUGAGAGUAUUGGAUCUAAAAGAAUGCAAUGGUUUGAAUGAAGAACAUAUUGGGCACAUAUACAAGCUGUUGCAUCUCAAAUAUCUGGCACUCGGGAGCUCUGUUAGCAAUCUUUCAGUGGAAAUGGGAAGGCUUCAUUAUUUAGAGACACUCGACUUGAGAAAGACCAAGAUAGAAACAUUGCCGGUGGAAGUCAUUAUUCUGCCCCACCUACUACACCUGUUUGGAAAGAUUAAGCUAAAGGAGGUAAGUCGCAAGAACCGUAAGAAGUUCCUGCAAGGAAAAAGUAAUAUGCAGACUCUAGCAGGAGUUGUUAUUGACAGCAACUCUGCAUUCCCGGAACUGAUGGUUCAUAUGAAAAAACUGACAAAGGUCAAGAUAUGGUGCGAGAUCAUUGACACAGACAUCAAUUAUACCAUGCUCUCAGAGGCCAUUCACAAGUUUGCUCAGGCUGGCAUGGGUACUCCAGUAGGUGCCCGCUCCCUAUCACUCCAUCUGAAUGAUUCUUCCAAAGAUUUGCUUCAUUGCUGUCAAGGCGACAACACAAAUGCAACACCAAGAAAGCUUGGUUAUCUUAGCUCACUGAAACUGCAAGGCGGCCUGAGUCAGUUCCCUCAGUUUGUUAUGUCCCUCUGUGGUCUGAAAGAGUUGUGCCUUGCAUAUACUAAUCUGACAGGAGCUGAUCUUCUACCAGGUCUGCGUAGCCUCCAGUACUUGGUUUAUCUCAAACUGGUUGAAGUCCAUUUUGGGGAUUUAGACAUCAUGGUUGGGGAUCUCCCAAGCCUGCAAUGUCUAUGCCUUGUGAUGCAGGAACCCAUGUUGCCCACUAUCCAAAAAGGAGCUCUGCCGAGACUCACUUCAAUUCAAUUGCUCUGCAAAGACCUAAAAGAUGUUUGUGAAAUCAAACUGGAAUUGUUCAAAGGUCUUCAGGAAAUAGCUCUGGAUUCUAUGGUCAAUCCGGAAACCAUAAAACACUGGGAAGCUGAAGCUAAGGAGCACCCUAAGAGGCCAAGUGUUUUUUUGCUCGAAAGGGUCGUUGAUCCAGACGAAACUAGCCCUUCGGUGAAAUAUGUUGCCCCGUGCCAAGUCGACAACAAUCGCUACACCAACACCUGUGCUAACGAUCACAUGGAAAUUGACCUUGACCAACUCACCCUUCAGACCAAGUACCGCAGGUCUGAUCAAUUCAGAGUUGGCAGCAAGCGAUCUCGAUCACCUCACUCUCCAGGAAGGGUCUGA